rnacentral:rRNA from 1 species
UACGGAGGGGGCUAGCGUUGUUCGGAAUUACUGGGCGUAAAGCGCACGUAGGCGGAUAGUUAAGUUAGAGGUGAAAGCCCAGGGCUCAACCCUGGAACUGCCUUUAAUACUGGCUGUCUAGAGAUCGAGAGAGGUGAGUGGAAUUCCGAGUGUAGAGGUGAAAUUCGUAGAUAUUCGGAAGAACACCAGUGGCGAAGGCGACUUACUGGACACAUAUUGACGCUGAGGUGCGAAAGCGUGGGGAGCAAACAGG